UCACCACGAGGACCUUUUCAAAGGGAUUGG
rnacentral:piRNA from 1 species